UUGCACAGGUGCUGCAUGGCUGUCGUCAGCUCGUGUCGUGAGAUGUCGGUUAAGUCCGCUAACGAGCGCAACCCUCGUCGUGUGUUAUACGUGUCACACGAUACUGCCGGUAUCAAGCCGGAGGAAGGUGGGGAUGAUGUCAAGUCAGCAUGGCCUUUAUAUCCUGGGCUACACACACGCUACAAUGGCAGAUGCAAUAGGUUGCGAAACCGCGAGGUGGAGCCAAUCCUCAAAGUCUGUCUCAGUUCAGAUUGUAGGCUGCAACUCGCCUGCAUGAAGUUGGAGUUGCUAGUAAACGCAGGUCAGCUAUACUGCGUUGAAUACGUUCCCGGGUUUU
rnacentral:rRNA from 1 species